GUACUUGGUUUGUAGAACAUAUGCUCAAAAGUUCGAAUGGUGCAGAGACGAUGUACAUGGCCCCUAAAUAAGGAUAACAUGCCAAUUCAUGAAGUGUUACACAGUUUU
ensembl:snRNA U6 U6 spliceosomal RNA